AGUGUAGUUAACACCUGCAUUAUUUGACGUUACCUACAGAAGAAGCACCGGCUAACUCCGUGCCAGCAGCCGCGGUAAUACGGAGGGUGCGAGCGUUAAUCGGAAUUACUGGGCGUAAAGCGCAUGCAGGCGGCCUGUUAAGUCAGAUGUGAAAGACCCGGGGCGUUAACCUCGGAAUUGCAUUUGAAACUGGCAGGCUAGAGUCUUGUAGAGGGGGGUAGGAAUUUCAGGUGUAGCGGUGAAAUGCGUAGAGAUCUGAAGGAAUACCAGUGGCGAAGGCGGCCCCCUGGACAAAGACUGACGCUCAGAUGCGAAAGCGUGGGGAGCAAACAGGAUUAGAUACCCCUGGUAG
rnacentral:rRNA from 1 species